rnacentral:rRNA from 1 species
UACGUAGGGUGCAAGCGUUGUCCCGGAUUUAUUGGGCGUAAAGAGCUCGUAGGCGGUCUGUCGCGUCGGAUGUGAAAACCCCAGGGCUCAACCCCCGGGCCUGCAUUCGAUACGGGCAGACUAGAGUAUGGCAGGGGACGAUCGGAAUUCCUGGUGUAGCGGUGAAAUGCGUAGAUAUCUGGAGGAACACCGGUGGCGAAGGCGGCAUCCUGGACCAACACUGACGCUGAGGAGCGAAAGCCAGGGGAGCAAACGGG